UCAAGAUGAAGAAACCGAGGCUUGGAGAGGAAAGAGACUGAACAGCCCUUGUCACACAGCUUGAAGUGGCGACAUGAGAAUUUCAACUCUGGAACCUUUGAUUCCGAAGUGCCCACAUGAGGGGCUUGGGCCUCCCCGGGAUGCAGCAGUGGUAGAACUUACAGCACAGGCCGCAGGCCGGAAGGAGGUGAGCCUCUCGGCGGGGUAGGCCGUGUUGCCGCCCCAGGCAUCCCAGCUUGGAUAUUCGCCUCGUUCCAGAAUGUACUGCUGCCCUUGGAAGCCAGCAUGCUCAAAGCCCACCCACCUGCAGACAGAGGGUAGAGUGUGCAGGAGAGGCCAAGGAGGCAAAGCUGAUCACAGACUGAUCUCACCUUGGUGGAAUUCCCCGUGAUCCUGCCAGGGUGUGGGAGACGGGCAGUCUUGCAAGGAGCGACCGCAUGGCCAUCUCUCAUUUUCCUCCCUCUCUUGUGGGAGGCUGCCACGAGGCAGCCCCUCAUCUGCCUCUCUGGCCACUCUGAGAUGUGGGGCUUUCCACCUCGCCUCCCCACAGGCGACAGCAGCAAGCUAUCGUUGAAGCAUGGAAGCAGCUCUUCAGCCACGGGGUUCCUACCAUUCCUAAUGCCUGUCAUUCAGCCCCCUUUGUUUUGGUGUCGUCCAGUAGGACAAGGGACACAGGAGGCUGCACCUUGCCUUUACUGUCUGUAUAAGUAAUAAACUGUCUG
rnacentral:lncRNA from 1 species